rnacentral:rRNA from 1 species
UACGUAGGGACCGAGCGUUGUCCGGAAUCAUUGGGCGUAAAGAGCUCGUAGGCGGUUGGGCAAGUCACGUGUGAAAUCUCCACGCUCAACGUGGAGGCGCCACGUGAGACUGCCCUGACUCGAGUCCGGUAGGGGAGCGUGGAAUUCCCGGUGUAGCGGUGAAAUGCGCAGAGAUCGGGAGGAACACCCGUAGCGAAGGCGGCGCUCUGGGCCGGUACUGACGCUGAGGAGCGAAAGCGUGGGGAGCAAACAGG